rnacentral:rRNA from 1 species
AGGACAAACGCUGGCGGCGUGCAUAAAACAUGCAAGUCGGACGAGCCAAUCCCCGCAAGGGGAAAGGCUAGUGGCGAACGGCUGAGUAACACGUAGGUGAUCUGCCCUGAAGUGGGGGAUAACGACUCGAAAGAGUCGCUAAUACCGCAUGUGACCAUCGAUUCGUUUCGAUGCUCAAAGUCGUAAGACGCUUUAGGAGGAGCCUGCGGCGGAUUAGCUAGUUGGUGAGGUAAUGGCCACCAAGGCUUCGAUCCGUAGC